GUGGGGAAUAUUGGACAAUGGGCGAAAGCCUGAUCCAGCCAUGCCGCGUGUGUGAAGAAGGUCUUCGGAUUGUAAAGCACUUUAAGUUGGGAGGAAGGGCAGUAAGUUAAUACCUUGCUGUUUUGACGUUACCAACAGAAUAAGCACCGGCUAACUUCGUGCCAGCAGCCGCGGUAAUACGAAGGGUGCAAGCGUUAAUCGGAAUUACUGGGCGUAAAGCGCGCGUAGGUGGUUCAGCAAGUUGGAGGUGAAAUCCCCGGGCUCAACCUGGGAACUGCCUCCAAAACUACUGAGCUAGAGUACGGUAGAAGGUAGUGGAAUUUCCUGUGUAGCGGUGAAAUGCGUAGAUAUAGGAAGGAACACCAGUGGCGAAGGCGACUACCUGGACUGAUACUGACACUGAGGUGCGAAAGCGUGGGGAGCAAACAGGAUUAGAUACCCUAGUAGUCC
rnacentral:rRNA from 1 species